AACUUUUCAAAAGAAUCCAAAAGAUACAAACCUGAAUUUCUAUAUUAGAACAAAUUUUCCAUUUGCACCCCUCUACUAGGAGGUUAACUGAGUUUCAAUUAGAGCAAAUUUUCCCUUUACACCUUUGCUAGGAGGUUAACGCCUGAAUGCAUGAAUUUUUCUUGUUUCCUAUGUUUUUUCUAUAAAAAUGAACUGAUUCAUGUAUAAUUCUUGUAAAAUUCCUCUAAAAUUACUGCAUUACAAAGGACGUAAACGUUAUAAAGUAGCUCUCAGGGUCAUAAGCCGCAGUGACUUAGGCCCCCUUUGGCAGGGCUUUAGCUUUUAGAAAAAUAGAUUUGGCUCUAGCUUCUUCAUGCGAGCAGCUUUUUUGGGAGAGCCAAAGCCAUUUUCAAAAAUCGUUUGGUAACACAGCUUCUGUACUGUUUUACAAAAUAAACCUUUGAUAGUUUUUUAAUAUAUUGUAGUAUUGUUGCCCCGCUGGUUUGCUCGUACGCAGAUACACAAGUUGAUAACGUACACGAUAUGCAUCAAAUAAAUUAACAUAAUAGUAUAUAACAACGAUUAAUUAAUGUCAUCCACAUAUGAACUAGAAAUUGUAAAAUAUUCAGUUAAAAGUGACGAUGAUCCAUUAUAUACAAAUAUGUAUGUAUACAAAAUUCACGCUGAUCUAGAAAGAAAGACUGCCCUAGCAAUAUCAUCCCGGAAUCUGUCCAUGGUUCGAUCAUUUGAUUGUGUUGUCGAUGUAUCCGAUGCAUUUUGCGAUGGCUGAAAUCUAGCAUACCUAUCUGGAAUUGUGGGCACAUAAUCAGGAUUCCGAUCACACUUCACAAAAUCCAAAUCUAAAGCAUGGUUCUCUCGAAUGUAGUUAUGCAAACACAUUGUCGCUGCCACAAUCAUUUUUUGAACUCCCAUUUUGUAAGACGGCAUUUUCAGUAGCACUCUCCACUUCAUUUUCCAGACUCCAAAUGCUCGCUCCACAACAUUACGAAUACUUGAAUGCAAAUGGUUAAAGUGCUCUUGCUCACCAUUUGGAGCUGGUCCUCUCCUCCAGUCAGGUACAUGGUACCUUUGACCUUUAUAUGGUGCCAAGUACCCAGGUCGAUUUGGAUAUCCUGCGUCGACACAAUAAUAUUUCCCUACAAUUAAACGAAUAACAUGAUAAAAAAUUAGAGUCUUACUACAAAUGUUGAAAAGUAGUAUACUAUUAAUACAUACCUGCAGGAGGGUGUGGAAAAUUUUCUGUAUCAUUCCUCAAUGCAUGGAAUAGGACAUUUGUGUCGUGCAUAGACCCAGGUUGGCCUAUAGAUGCAUACGUAAAUCUCAUGUCAAAAUCAACUACAGCCAUCACAUUUUGAGUUGCUUUACCAGUUCUCCCAAUGUAUCUAAUAACAUCUUCUACCGGCGGUGUGGCAUUAAUAUGGGUACCAUCUAAUGCUCCAAUGCAAUCUUUGAAAUGAGGCAUCAUCCUUCGAUCACCAGCAAUUCGACUAUGUACAGUGGAAAAUUUUGGAUCAAUUGGUCUGAUGUAGUCCUUGCACAUACACACCACACACUGAAGUACUUCAUGAAACUUCCUGCUAAUAGUCUCCCCCGAAUGUCUGAAUAUAUUUGUUAAAGCGCUGUUUGACCAACCAUGGCCACAAGUGACAAGAAAAAUAGCUAGCGACUCCAUAGAACUCAUAUGUAUAGAUGAUUUCAGACCAUACGAACUCUCUAGCAAAUCAUGCAAACUAUAAAACAGCGAACUAUUCAUUCGAAACAUGUUAUGACUUGAUCCAGGUGUUUUUAAGGUGUCCAUCAGCCAACCAUAUCCAGUUUGUCCAGCUGUCCUAGCCUCAUUUUUAUCAUAGUACUUGAAAUAAUAAUUAGAAGCAAAACGAGCAGCACAAAGUAGGCUGUAUUGUGCACAUUGUACCAAUGGAAUAACUUGCCCAAUAAUAUUAUCAUCGUCAGAAUCACUGUCUGUAGUAUCAGAACUAGAAGUAAAUUGACCAUCAUCUGUAUCCAAAAAAAAUCAUUCAGGUCGACACCAUCAUCAACAUCAUCACUGCAAUUUAAAGAAUACAACGUUCGAACAAUCAUUAACGACAUUAUUAUUAUAAUCACCCCAACAGAAAUAGUUUGAACAAAUGCUUUCAUUAUUACAAUAUCCAAAUAUAAAUGCAAGGCAAAAUAUUAUUUCUAAAUAGGCAACUAAUUUCUCCUAGUCACAUCAUUUCUUGUCAUCCAUUCCUGCUUGCUCUUUAACCACAGAAACCUAUCUUCAGGAGUAUCCAGAGUCAUGAACAUCUCUCUUUCCGAUCUUUUAGUAAACACUAUAGAGGCGAUGAAAUGCUCUUUUGUGCCAACAGUGGCACCACAUUCCUUUACCAAUGUCAUAACUUGUUGGAUCGAGCAUCCAUAUGUAUCCUCCCUCCUAGCAAUGGACUCACAAGUCUCUGUGGUUCUUUUUGUCAUCUCAAGUAUUUGAUCGAAACCAUCAGAAACCCAACUUCCUUUACCACUCCUUGCUCGUUUACCUUUGUUAUUGGCAGGGAUUCGUGGCCUCUUUACUUUACCACUACUAGGGGUGAUCUCCUCAGGCUCACUAUCAUCCUCAUUGGUAGGUUCAAAUUCCACAUCAAUAUUUAUAGGUGAUUGGUCUACAUUUUGUUGAGUUGGUGGAAUACCACUGGAUGCACUCCAAUGGUCAUCACCAGUGUUGCGUAGAUCUUCGAACAUAGUAGCUAAAUGGUCCUCAUUCUGCAGCCCUCUAGUCUUAAAUCUAGUUGAUCCUUUAAUAGCCUGCAUUUUUAUCAAUUAAACAAAUAUUAACCAAACUAGGUUGCAACAUGAUUACAAUUAAUAUGGUACACACUAAAAUAAGGAACUCACUUUUGCCAUCUUUUUCCACCAAUCUUCAGGCAUGUCAAUAUUUUUACCACUACCAUCCCAACCUAAACCAGUCUGUCUUGUUAAUUGCUUCCAAAUCCCGUAAUCAAUUUUCAAUCUGUCCCAUUUGUUCUUAAAUUGUUUACGGGUGUACACAACUCCUGUCCUUUCUUUGAAUUUCUGAAUCACAUUUUGGUAACCGGCUUUGUUCAAAUGAGUGCUUGAACGAUUUCCGAUGAGGACUUCGUCAGCAAAAAUUUCACAUGCUAUCCUAGUAUACUCAUCACACCAAGUGGCCAUACUGUAUACAAAAAAUUUGACAGAUGAACAUAACAUCACAGACAACCAAAUUACACGAUAACAUACAAUAUAUGAAACUCUGUAACUGUCGGCGUUUCGAGACAGGGGGGUCCCAAAGCCGACAAGUGAGUGUGCUGCGUGCCCCAGCCCAGAUGGGUCGAGCGCGUGGGCGAGCGCGAAGGGGGGAGAGGCGAGGUGGCCGGAGUCGAGCGUGAGAGAGGUGGAAGUCCCGCGGCCUUCGUGUUCAUCCCGCGCCCAGGUCGGGUGCGCUUGCAGUAGGGGGGUUACAAGCGUCCACGCGGGUGAGGGAAGUGAGCGGCCCCAAGAGAGCGCCUGUCCCGUCCUCGGUCCCACGCGGCCAACCUUCUCUAAGAAGGCCCUGGUCCUCCCUUUUAUAGUCGUAAGGAGAGGAUCCAGGUGUACAAUGGGGGGUGUAGCAGAGUGCUACGUGUCUAGCGGAGAGAGAGCUAGCGCCCUAGGUACAUGCCAAUGUGGCAGCCGGAGAGGUCUUGGCACCUUGCUGGCGUGAUGUCGUGGCUGUCGGAGGUGCGACGGAGCCUGGCGGAGGGACAGCUGUUGGAGCGGUCGAGUCCUUGCUGACGUCGCCCUGCUUCCGUAAGAGAGCUGGGGGCCGCCGUCGUCACAGAGCUUGUGGAGCGCCAUCAUUGCCCAUCCGGCGGAGCUGGCCGGAUGGGACGCCGGUCUUGUUCUCCGUGACCCGAGUCGAUUCGGGGUAGGACGAUGAUGGCGCUUCCUGUUGACGUGGCGAGUCUGUGCCCUAGGCAGGGUGACGUGGGGGCUCCUCCGAAGCCGAGGUUGAGUCUGUCUUCUGUUGCCGAGGCCGAGUCCAAGCCAUGGGGUCGGGCGAGGCGGAGGUCGUUCGGCCGAGGCCAGGGCGGAGUCCGAGCCCUGGGGUCGGGCGGAGCGGAGUUCGCCGUCUUCCGGGUCUUAGCCCGAGUCCGAGCCCUGGGGUCGGGCGAGGCGGAGGUCGUUCGGCCGAGGCCAGGGCGGAGUCCGAGCCCUGGGGUCGGGCGAGGCGGAGUUUCGUCGUCUUCCGGGUCUUAGCCCGAGUCCGAGCCCUGGGGUCGGGCGGAGCGGAGUUCGCCGUCUUCCGGGUCUUAGCCCGAGUCCGAGCCCUGGGGUCGGGCGGAGCGGAGUUCGCCGUCUUCCGGGUCUUAGCCCGAGUCCGAGCCCUGGGGUCAGGCGGAGCGGAGUUCGCCGUCUUCCGGGUCUUAGCCCGAGUCCGAGCCCUGGGGUCGGGCGGAGUGGAGUUCGCCGUGGCGCCUUUGGCAAGGCCUGACUGUCUGUCAGACUCACUCUGUCGAGUGGCACCGCAGUCGGAGUGGCGCAGGCGGCGCUGUCCUUCUGUCAGACUGGUCAGUGGAGCGGUGGAGUGACGGCGGUCACGUCGGCUCUGCCGGGGGGGGCGCGUGUCAGGAUAAAGGUGUCAGGCCACCUUUGCGUUAAAUGCUCCUGCAACUCGGUCAGUCGGUGUGGCGAUUUAGUCAGGGUUGCUUCUGAGCGAAGCCAAGGCCUCGGGCGAGCCGGUGAUGUGUCCGCCGUAAAAAGGGGGGCCUCGGGCAAGACGGAAGUCUCUCGAGGUCGGCUGCCCUUGGCCGAGGCUAGGCUCGGGUGAAGCGUGAUCGAGUCACUCAUGCGGACUGAUCCCUGACUUAAUCGUACCCAUCAGGCCUUUGCAGCUUUAUGCUGAUGGGGGUUACCAGCUGAGAAUUAGGCGUCUUGAGGGUACCCCUAAUUAUGGUCCCCGACAGUAGCCCCCGAGCCUCGAAGGGAGUGUUAGCACUCGCUUGGAGGCUUUCGUCGCACUUUUUUGCAAGGGGACCAGCCUUUCUCGGUUGCAUUUUGUUCCGGUGGGUGCGCGCGAGCGCACCCGCCGGGUGUAGCCCCCGAGGCCUCGGAGGAGUGGUUACACUCCUUCGAGGUCUUAAUACCUUGCGUAAUGCUUCGGCUGGUCUGGUCAUUCCCUCAUGCGAACUGGCCGUAGCCCGGGUGCACGGUCGGGGCCCAAGCUCUCGGGCUGGUAUGUUGACGCUGUCAACGGUUUGGCCGGAGCCGGUUUUUGCGAGAGCAGCCCCCGAGCCUCUGCACAGGGCGAGAGGACGAUCAGGGACAGACUCGACUUUUUACAUACGCCCCUACGUCGCCUUUCCGCAAGGAGGAGGGGGGAGUGCGCCAUGUUACCCUCGAUGGGCACCGAACAUGGUGUCUCCGGUGAGCUGCAAGCGGGUAAUCCGAGUGGACGUCCGUGCCCCAUUCGUUGGGGGUCGGCUAGGGGCCCAGAGGCACGCCCAAAAGUACCUGCGGGUGAUUUGCCAGACCCGGUCCCCUGGCGACGGGGUCCGAGGGCUCGAUGCCUCCCUCCGAUGGGAUUCCGUUACAAGAUCGUUCCCGCUGGUCUCGGAAAUGUCCUAGGGUACCUCGGGAGCGCAGCCCGAGCCUCGGUUAUGUAUCGAACGUACCCCUGGUCAUCCCUCGCUCGGUGUCUGAGGCGACUGUGAACCCUUCGGGGGCCAGCCUUCGAACCCCUGAUCAGUAAUGGGCGCGGAGCCCGAGUAGCCUGAGGCGGCCAUGGAACCCUUCGGGGGGCUGGCCUUCGAACCCCUGACCAGUAGUGGGUGUCGGGCCCACGCGAUCUGAGGCGACUGUUGAACCCUUCGGAGGGCCAGUCUUCGAACCCCUGAUCAGUAGGGGGGGGCUCGGAGCCCGGUUCCUUCGCGGAGAAGGAUCCUUUUCGGGGUAUCCCCCUUUCCCGGUCCCUGUUGCAAGAGAUAGAGAAAGAGAAAAAAGGAAAGGGAUACGAAAUCGAACAACGUGGCGUACCUCUUUUUGACGCGGUUAUUACGGCGAAGGUGAAGCGUCGCGCGCUUCUCCCGCCAGAGGCACCGUGUGUCCCACCGCGGAGUUAAUGCGACGGGGCGAGUGGUUGGCGGGGUGGCCGUUACGCGUGCGCGAGCCGUUUGAGGAACGGCUGUACCGCUUCGCGCUUUUUGAAUCCCGCGUCCGGUCUAGGCGGUGUGCUGGAAACGGUUUCGCCCUGGCCUUCAUAUACUUGAGAGGGGGUCCGGUGACGGUUCUUCGCUCUGCUCCCUUCUUUUCCCUUUAGGUUUUUGCAACCCGGGAAACUUUAGUCGGAGAAGAGAGAAACCGCUCUCCCUGCCCCCCGCGCCACCAUCUUCUCCAUUUUGGUGAUGGCGGAUCGAGUGACCAUAAUCCCCCCGCGCGAUCCGUGGCCCUUCUCCACGGUGACGGCGAGUGAUCUGGAGGAGCUGGUCGGUGAAGGUUUGCUCCGCCCCCUCACCGACAAGCAGCGGCCGGCUAGCCCGACCCUCCCUUGACGACUAAACUUUGCGUAGGUGCGAGGUAUAUGAACAACUUGGAAACAUCUUAAGGGUAGAAGCGACGUAGCUGUUUGAUGUUCCAGGCGUUGCCGUAGAUCUCGCCUUGAUUGUUGGCCAGCUUGUAUGUUCCGGGCUUCAGAACUUUGGCGAUGACGAAUGGCCCUUCCCAGGGGGGCGUGAGCUUGUGCCUCCCUCGGGCGUCUUGCCGCAGCCGAAGCACCAGAUCGCCCACCUGGAGGUCUCGGGACCGGACCCCUCGGGCGUGGUAGCGUCGCAGGGACUGCUGGUACCGCGCCGAGUGUAGUAAGGCCCUGUCCCGAGCCUCCUCCAGCUGGUCCAGCGAUUCUUCUCGGCUAGCUUGGUUGCUUUGAUUGGUGUAGGCCCUCGUCCUCGGGGAGCCGUAUUCCAGGUCAGUGGGCAAGAUAGCUUCAGCCCCGUAGACCAGGAAAAACGGCGUGAAACCCGUGGCACGACUCGGCGUCGUCCUUAGGCUCCAGACCACCGAGGGGAGUUCCUUCAUCCACCGCUUGCCGAACUUGUUGAGGUCGUUGUAGAUCCGAGGCUUGAGCCCUUGUAGAAUCAUGCCGUUGGCACGCUCUACUUGCCCAUUCGACAUGGGAUGAGCCACGACGGCCCAGUCCACCCGGAUAUGGUGAUCCUCGCAAAAAUCCAAGAAUUUUUUGCCGGUGAACUGGGUGUCGUUGUCGGUGAUGAUGGAGUUCGGGACCCCGAAGCGAUGGAUGAUGUUGGUGAAGAACGCCACCGCCUGCUCGGACCUGAUGCUGUUCAGAGGUCGGACCUCGAUCCACUUGGACAAUUUGUCGAUGGCGACCAGCAGGUGCGUGUAGCCCCCGGGCGCCUUCUGCAAGGGACCGACGAGGUCCAGACCCCAUACAGCGAAGGGCCAGGUGAUGGGUAUUGUCUGCAGAGCCUGAGUGGGUAGGUGGGUCUGCUUUGCAUAGAAUUGGCACCCUUCGCAGGUGCGGACAAUUCUAGUGGCGUCAUCCACCGCCGUUGGCCAGUAGAAGCCUUGCCGGAAAGCAUUCCCGACAAGGCCUCGGGGCGCUGCGUGGUGGCCGCAAGCCCCCGAGUGUAUUUCUUGCAGCAGUUCCCAACCUUCGGCGAUGGAGAUGCAUCGCUGGAGGAUGCCCGAGGGGCUGCGAUGGUAGAGCUCCUCUUCAUUGCCCAGCAAGACGAACGACUUGGCGCGUCGCGCUACCCGCCGAGCCUCGACUUGGUCGGGGGGUAGCUCUCCUCGACGGAGAUAUUGCAGGUACGGGGCCUGCCAAUCUCGAUCUGGCGUGGCCCCGCUCUGCUCUUCCUCGACGUCCAGUGCCUCGCCCUCGGGGGCCGAGGGUACCUCGGGCUGAGCCGAGGGUGCCUCGGGCCGAGCUGAGGGCGCUUCGGCUUGAGCCGAGGGUGCCUCGGGCUCGGGCGCGUCGUCGAUCUUGACAGAGGGUCGAUGCAGAUCCCGGGAGAAGACGUCCGGGGGGACCGUCGUUCGCCCCGAGGCUAUUUUAGCCAACUCGUCUGCGGUUUCGUUGUAGCGCCGAGCGAUGUGGUUGAGCUCGAGCCCGAAGAACUUGUCUUCCAGGCGCCGAACCUAGUCGCAGUAGGCCUCCAUCUUCGGGUCGCGGCAGUGGGAGUUCUUCAUGACUUGGUCGAUGACGAGCUGCGAAUCGCCGCGGGCGUCGAGGCGUCUGACCCCUAGCUCGAUGGCGAUCCGCAACCCGUUGACCAGAGCUUCGUACUCGGCCACAUUGUUGGACGCCGGGAAAUGGAGGCGCAGCACGUAGCGCAGGUGCUUUCCAAGGGGCGAGAUGAAGAGCAGGCCCGCGCCGGCUCCUAUCUUCAUCAGCGACCCGUCGAAAAACAUGGUCCAGAGCUCCGGUUGGAUCGGAGCCGUCGGCAACUGGGUGUCAACCCAUUCGGCCACGAAGUCCGCCAACACCUGGGACUUGAUGGCCCUCCGAGGGGCGAACAAGAUCGUUUCGCCCAUGAUUUCCACCGCCCACUUUGCGAUCCUGCCCGAGGCCUCUCGGCACUGGAUGAUCUCCCCCAGGGGGAAGGAUGACACCACAGUUACCGGAUGAGACUCGAAGUAGUGUCGCAGCUUCCGCCUUGUCAGGAUCACAGCAUACAGCAGCUUUUGAACUUGUGGGUAGCGGAUCUUGGUCUCGGACAGUACUUCGCUGACGAAGUAGACCGGCCUCUGAACGGGCAAUGCAUGCCCUUCCUCUUGCCUCUCGACCACAAUUGCGGCGCUAACCACCUGAGUGGUCGCGGUGACGUAGACCAAGAGGGCUUCUCCAUCCGCCGGGGGCACCAAGACAGGCGCCUUUGUAAGGAGCGCCUUCAGGUUCCCGAGGGCUUCCUCGGCCUCAGGGGUCCAAGCGAAACACUCGGCCUUCCUUAAGAGGCGGUACAGAGGCAGACCUCUUUCGCCGAGGCGUGAGAUGAAGCGGCUCAGGGCCGCGAGGCAUCCCAUGACCCUCUGUACACCUUUUAAGUCCUUGAUGGGUCCCAUGCUGGUGAUGGCCGCGAUCUUCUCCGGGUUGGCUUCAAUGCCUCGCUCGGAGACGAUGAACCCUAGGAGCAUGCCUCGGGGCACCCCGAAGACACACUUCUCCGGAUUGAGCCUGACUCCUUUCGCCUUGAGACAUCGGAAUGUCACUUCAAGGUCGGAGAGGAGGUCGGAAGCCUUCCUUGUCUUGACUAUGAUGUCAUCGACGUAGGCCUCGACUGUGCGACCGAUGUGUUCGCUGAACACAUGGUUCAUGCACCGCUGGUACGUCGCGCCCGCGUUCCUCAAACCGAACGGCAUGGUGACAUAGCAGUACAUGCCGAACGGCGUGAUGAAAGAAGUCGCGAGCUGGUCGGACUCUUUCAUCCGGAUCUGGUGAUACCCUGAGUAGGCAUCGAGGAAGGACAGGGUUUCGCACCCAGCGGUGGAAUCCACGAUUUGAUCGAUGCGAGGCAGAGGGUAGGGAACCUUCGGACAUGCUUUGUUGAGACCAGUGUAGUCUACACACAUCCGCCAUUUCCCCCCUUUCUUCCUCACAAGCACAGGGUUGGCAAGCCAUUCGGGAUGGAAUACCUCUUUGAUGAACCCUGCUGCCAUUAGCUUGUGGAUCUCUUCGCCAAUCACUCUGCGCUUCUCCUCAUCGAAUCGGCGCAGAGGCUGCCUGAUGGGUCGGGCUCCGGCCCGAAUAUCCAGCGAGUGCUCGGCGACAUCCCUCGGUAUGCCGGGCAUGUCCGAGGGACUCCACGCAAAGACGUCGGCGUUUGCGCGGAGAAAGUCGACGAGCACUGCUUCCUAUUUGGGGUCGAGCCCGGAACCGAUCCGAAUCUGCUUGGUGGUGUCGCCACUGGGGUCAAGAGGGACGGCCUUAACCGUCUCCGCCGGCUCGAAGUUGCCGGCAUGGCGCUUCACGUCUGGCACCUCCUUGGAGAGGUUCUCCAGGUCGGCGAUGAGGGCCUCGGACUCGGCGAGGGCCUCGGCGUACUCCACGCACUCCACGUCGCAUUCGAACGCGUGUUUGUACGUGGGGCCGACGGUGAUGACCCCGUUGGGGCCCGACAUCUUGAGCUUCAGGUAGGUGUAGUUGGGGACGGCCAUGAACUUCGCGUAGCAUGGCCUCCCUAGUACGGCGUGGUAGGUUCCUCGGAACCCGACCACCUCGAACGUCAGGGUCUCCCUUCGGAAGUUGGAGGGCGUCCCGAAGCAGACGGGGAGGUCGAGUCGCCCGAGGGGCUGGACGCGCUUCCCAGGGAUGAUCCCGUGGAAGGGCGCAGUGCCUGCUCGGACGGAGGACAGAUCGAUGCGCAGGAGCUUGAGGGUCUCGGCGUAGAUGAUGUUGAGGCAGCUGCCCCCAUCCAUCAGGACCUUGGUGAGCCUGACAUUGCCGACAACGGGGUCGACGACGAGCGGGUAUUUCCCCGGGCUCGGCACAUGGUCGGGGUGGUCGGCCUGGUCGAAGGUGAUGGGCUUGUCGGACCAGUCUAGGUAGACUGGCGCCGCCACCUUCACCGAGCAGACCUCCCGGCGCUCUUGCUUGCGAUGCCGAGCCAAGGCAUUCGCCGCAUGUCCUCCAUAGAUCAUGAAGCAGUCGCGGACCUCGGGGAACUCUCCUGCUUGGUGAUCUUCGUUCUUGUCGCCGUCGCGGGCCCUGCCACCCUCGGCGGGUGGCCCGGCCCUGAGGAAGUGACGCCGAAGCAUAACGCACUCCUCGAGGGUGUGCUUGACGGGCCCCUGAUGGUAGGGGCACGGCUCCUUGAGCAUCUUGUCGAAGAGGUUUGCACCUCCGGGGGGCUUCCGAGGGUUCUUGUACUCGGCGGCGGCGACAAGGUCCGCGUCAGCGGCGUCGCGUUUCGAUUGCGACUUCUUCUUACCUUUCUUCUUGGCGCCGCGCGGAGCAGACGCCUCGGGAGCCUCUUCCGAUGGGCGGCCCUGGGGCUGCUUGUCCUUUCGGAAGAUAGCCUCGACCGCCUCCUGGCCAGAGGCAAACUUGGUGGCGAUGUCCAUCAGCUCGCUCGCCCUGGUGGGGGUCUUGCGACCCAGCUUGCUCACCAGGUCGCGGCAAGUGGUGCCGGCGAGGAACGCGCCGAUGACAUCCGAGUCGGUGAUGUUGGGCAGCUCGGUGCGCUGCUUCGAGAAUCGCCGGAUGUAGUCCCGGAGCGACUCCCCCGGCUGUUGCCGGCAGCUUCGAAGGUCCCAGGAAUUCCCGGGGCGCACGUAUGUGCCCUGGAAAUUGCCAGCGAAGGCUUGGACCAAGUCGUCCCAGUUGGAGAUCUGCCCCGGAGGCAGGUGCUCCAACCAGGCGCGAGCAGUGUCGGAGAGGAACAGGGGGAGAUUACGGAUGAUGAGGUUGUCGUCGUCCGUCCCACCCAGUUGGCAGGCAAGGCGGUAGUCCGCGAGCCACAGUUCCGGUCUCAUUUCCCCCGAGUACUUCGUGAUAGUAGUCGGGGGUCGGAACCGGGUCGGGAAUGGCGCCCGUCGUAUGGCCCGACUGAAGGCCUGCGGACCGGGUGGUUCGGGCGAGGGACUCCGAUCCUCCCCGCUGUCGUAGCGCCCCCCACGCCUGGGGUGGUAGCCUCGGCGCACCCUUUCGUCGAGGUGGGCCCGACGGUCGCGUCGAUGGUGCUCGUUGCCGAGGUGGCCCGGGGCCGCAGGCGCGGUGUUGCGCGUGCGCACGGUGUAGACCGAGGCUUCCCGCAUGAAUCGGGAAGCCGCGGCAUGAGGUUCCGAGGGAUAUCCCUGCCUUCGGGAGGCAGUGCUCUCGGCCCGUCGGGCCGCAGUGCCUUCCAGGAGAUUCUUGAGCUCUCCCUGGAUUCGCCGACCCUCGGUGGUUGAUGGCUCCGGCAUCGCGCGGAGGAGCAUCGCUGCGGCUGCCAGGUUCUGACCAACCCCGCUGGAUGCGGGCGGCGGCCUGACCCUGACAUCGUUGGCGACGCGGUGCUGGAGACCUUGGGGCAGGUGACGUAUUUCUCCGGCCAGGGGUUGGCCCGCCCAUACCUGCCCGACGUCCCGACGGAUCAGCUCAAGCGCUCCUGUUCCCUCGUUGAGCCUGGCCUGCGCCUCGCGGACUUGCUCGAGUUGUGGGUCGUAACCCCCCGCCGGAGCGGGGACCACAGCUAGCUCCCGUGGGAUGUCGGCGCGAGGCACCGGCCUAGGAAGAUCACCGUCCUCCGGCAUGCCGAGAUGGUUGCCUUCGGAGGGAUCCCCUAGCUCGAUGUGGAAACAUUCGCGGCUUGGGCCGCAGCUCUCGUCGCCAAGGCUGCGGCUUCCGUCGGAACAGUCGGAUAGGCAGUAGUCACAUGCGGUCAUGAAGUCCCGCAUGGCACUGGGGUUGCCAAGUCCGGAGAAAUCCCAACAGACGCUGGGAUCGUCAUCUUCCUCGGACCCAGAGGGCCCGUAGGUCGAGACGUCCGUCAGCCGGUCCCAAGGCGACCGUAUACGAAACCCCAGUGGGGUUGCACUCGCCUCAAUGAGAGCGCCCGCUAAAGCGAGGUCGUUUGGCGGGUUGAGGCCGAGUCGAAAUGACGUAAGAUGGGAGUUAGUCGGUACCUUUUGGUCGACGAGGAGCGACGUAGUCACAUCGGGGACUGGUUGCACCGUCAUCUCAGGUACGAGGGCGACGUCCUGCAGGCUUUCCGCGAGCGCGCCGGCGUUGUCUUCUUGCUCGGGGUCAGCGUGUCGCGGGGGGACGGCGCUUGCCUUCGUCUUGAACGCGAGGUCGACGUCCGGCGUGCCUUCCGUCGGGGCGUCGGGGGCGUCGAUUCGCUCGACGGCCAACGAAGCGUGGCCUCCCGCUUGGCCUUGAUGGCCCCGCCUCCUCCUCCGUUGGCGGGGGAGAGAACGGAGCGAGCUCGAAUGUUGCUCUUCCACCACGCGGGGAAGAUGUCGUCGAUUCCGCCGCCGGCGGGCGGGUUGUCGGCCGCCAUUGUCGUUGUCGCGCGGCGGUGGAAGAAGUAUCAUGUCGUAGCUGCCGUCGAAGGACAUGAACUCAAGAGUCCCGAAACGAAGCACCGCCCCGGGCCGGAGACGUUGCUGGAGACUGCCCAUCUGGAGCUUGACGGGGAGCUGUUCGUCAGCACGCAGCAGGCCCCUACCUGGCGCGCCAACUGUCGGCGUUUCGAGACAGGGGGGUCCCAAAGCCGACGAGUGAGUGUGCUGCGUGCCCCAGCCCAGAUGGGUCGAGCGCGUGGGCGAGCGCGAAGGGGGGAGAGGCGAUGUGGCCGGAGUCGAGCGUGAGAGAGGUGGAAGUCCCGCGGCCUUCGUGUUCGUCCCGCGCCCAGGUCGGGUGCGCUUGCAGUAGGGGGGUUACAAGCGUCCACGCGGGUGAGGGAAGCGAGCGGCCCCAAGAGAGCGCCUGUCCCGUCCUCGGUCCCGCGCGGCCAACCUUCUCUAAGAAGGCCCUGGUCCUCCCUUUUAUAGUCGUAAGGAGAGGAUCCAGGUGUACAAUGGGGGUGUAGCAGAGUGCUACGUGUCUAGCGGAGAGAGAGCUAGCGCCCUAGGUACAUACCAUUGUGGCAGCCGGAGAGGUCUUGGCACCUUGCUGGCGUGAUGUCGUGGCUGUCGGAGGUGCGACGGAGCCUGGCGGAGGGACAGCUGUUGGAGCGGUCGAGUCCUUGCUGACGUCGCCCUGCUUCCGUAAGAGAGCUGGGGGCCGCCGUCGUCACAGAGCUUGUGGAGCGCCAUCAUUGCCCAUCCGGCGGAGCUGGCCGGAUGGGACGUCGGUCUUGUUCUCCGUGACUCGAGUCGAUUCGGGGUAGGACGAUGAUGGCGCUUCCUGUUGACGUGGCGGGUCUGUGCCCUAGGCAGGGUGACGUGGGGGCUCCUCUGAAGCCGAGGUUGAGUCUGUCUUCUGUUGCCGAGGCCGAGUCCGAGCCAUGGGGUCGGGCGAGGCGGAGGUCGUUCGGCCGAGGCCAGGGCGGAGUCUGAGCCCUGGGGUCGGGCGGAGCGGAGUUCGCCGUCUUCCGGGUCUUAGCCCGAGUCCGAGCCCUGGGGUCGGGCGAGGCGGAGGUCGUUCGGCCGAGGCCAGGGCGGAGUCCGAGCCCUAGGGUCGGGCGAGGCGGAGUUUCGUCGUCUUCCGGGUCUUAGCCCGAGUCCGAGCCCUGGGGUCGGGCGGAGCGGAGUUCGCCGUCUUCCGGGUCUUAGCCCGAGUCCGAGCCCUGGGGUCGGGCGGAGCGGAGUUCGCCGUCUUCCGGGUCUUAGCCCGAGUCCGAGCCCUGGGGUCGGGCGGAGCGGAGUUCGCCGUCUUCCGGGUCUUAGCCCGAGUCCGAGCCCUGGGGUCGGGCGGAGCGGAGUUCGCCGUGGCGCCUUUGGCAAGGCCUGACUGUCUGUCAGACUCACUCUGUCGAGUGGCACCGCAGUCGGAGUGGCGCAGGCGGCGCUGUCCUUCUGUCAGACUGGUCAGUGGAGCGGUGGAGUGACGGCGGUCACGUCGGCUCUGCCGGGGGGGCGCGUGUCAGGAUAAAGGUGUCAGGCCACCUUUGCGUUAAAUGCUCCUGCAACUCGGUCAGUCGGUGUGGCGAUUUAGUCAGGGUUGCUUCUGAGCGAAGCCAAGGCCUCGGGCGAGCCGGUGAUGUGUCCGCCGUAAAAAGGGGGGCCUCGGGCGAGACGGAAGUCUCUCGAGGUCGGCUGCCCUUGGCCGAGGCUAGGCUCGGGUGAAGCGUGAUCGAGUCACUCGUGCGGACUGAUCCCUGACUUAAUCGUACCCAUCAGGCCUUUGCAGCUUUAUGCUGAUGGGGGUUACCAGCUGAGAAUUAGGCGUCUUGAGGGUACCCCUAAUUAUGGUCCCCGACAGUAACGUAGAAAGUAGCAAAUACGGCAAUUACCUAGGAUCUGUAAUGUCGACGUUUCCAGCUUGUUCUUCGUUUGAUAUCACAUCUUGUGGUACUGAUUGACUAUCAUCUCCUUGUCUAGUGUAUCCAUGGCCAUGCCCGGUCAUCGGUUGGCUAUGCACAGGCGUGGAGAAGCCAUUUCCGUCCACCAAUGGGGUGUGGCUACGCCCAGGCAAGACAAAUGCAGAGGAGACUAUGUCUGGCAGCCCUGCACAAAACGAACGUGCAAUUACUUGCAAGCGACGGUCAGCAACAGAUGCAAACCAAUUCGUCUGUUCUUGACGCCUUGAAGCUCCUACUAUCCGAGCAAACAUCUCCCAUGGGCAGAGCAGCCACCGGCGAACGGAGAGCAGCGGCAGCGCGACGUCCGACCGCUAGAUGCAAACCAUUGUCGGCAAUGGCGGAGCCCAAGGCGUCAAAUAGUAGGAGAUCGCGUGGAAGAAUCCAAACCUGCCGUCGUUGGUAGGGAGAAACCUAGGCCGCCAAGAUGGCCCGCCGCCAUGCGCGUUGCUGGGAUUCCGCGCCCGCCUCCAGCAAUCACAGGUCGGAUGCCUCCACGGACGGCAUCGUGGCCAUCACCGGCGAAUCCAUGGAGUUGCCCGGACGCGAUUUGGCCUUGCCCAUCUGCGUCGUUGCGUCGACUCGCCGCGCCCAUGGAUGCGCCCAGGUAUCCUUCAGGCGCGCCAUGGCCGAGUGCGGGUGCGGGCGCGAUUUGGCCUCGCCCGGCUGCGCCGUGGCCGCCAGUUGCUGCGCCGGCUCCUACGGCCGCGAUUUGGCCUUGCCCGUCUGCGUCGUUGCGUCUACUCGUCGCGCCCAUGGAUGCGCCCAGGUAUCCUUCAGGCGCGCCAUGACCGAGUGCGGGCGCGCUUUGGCCUCGCCCGGCUGCGCCGUGGCCGCCAGUUGCUGCGGCGGCGAUCCCUUGCCGGGGUCGUAAGGGAUUCAUGUUCUUCGUGAUAGGAUGCGUGCAGGCGUACGAAUCUCAGAUAGAGACGAGAUGGGAUCGGUGGGAGGGGGUUUUCACAAAAAAUACAGGAGCCAAAGCUGACCGAGCCACAUUUUUUGGCUUCACCUAUCUAGUACAAAACAGGGAAUUGCUUUCCACCUAAAGCCAUCUGAUAAAAGCGCGUUUGGUAUGGCUUGCGGGGAAAAGCGUGAAGCCAAAGGAGAAGCCGCUAGAUAUAAGCCCUGCCAAAGGGGGCCUUAGACACAUUCCCAGUUUCCAGUGUGUGGUCGAAACAACAAAAUGCAAAAAUAGCACAUCUUCGUUCUCAGAAGCAAGGUCAGGGUAUAACGCGUUCGGAGAAACUCAGGUUUGC
rnacentral:lncRNA from 1 species